GUUGACCUCGGAUCACGUGGGAUACCCCUGAACUUAAGCAUAUCAAUAAGCGGAGGA
rnacentral:rRNA from 1 species